GCAGAAUCUCUUAACAGCAGCUGUGUCCCUUUGUGAUUUUAGAACACAUACAGGGCCCCUGCUCUGCUAACUUUACUUCCUCUUCUUGUUUCUUUAGCCCAAGAGACAUCAACAGGUUGUUGCUAGUCUCUGGGUGCCUCACCUUCCUGUUUGCUCUUUUAAUCCUUUCGGUAAGUAGUGCCUUUAUUAAAGUCUCUUCAUGAAACCAUCAGAGGUGGUUGCUGUUUCCUGCAGGAAUCCUAACAGACACAGUAGAUAACUUGACAGAACAAAUAUGCAGAUGAGUCAUCCAACUUGCAAAGAGGCCAUGGGAGGCACGAUGAGGUCAAGAAAAGAGCAAACUGACUUAGUGAGAGAGACCAAAGUUCCACUGCCAUCUUCCAGCUGUAUGACUUGCAUAUGCCAUUUAAAUGAAGUCUGGGUUUUUUUUAAUCUGAAAAAUUUGCCUUAUCUACCUCAAAAAAAGGGGAUGAAAAUGCAUCUUAAGCAUGAAGUGUUAUGCAAAUCUUGGUUGUGGUUAUUACUAUAAUUUCAUGUAUUGAUUUUAAACAAAAUGUACUUUGAGUUGGAAGGUAAAAAAUAUGAAAGACUCUAAGAAUGGGUAGGCGGGGAACCAAAUGAUCUGUGGCCACACUGAAGGUAGAAAAAAAGGAAGUGAAUUUGAACUAAAGAAGCAGAAGUUGAGAAAGUACCAAAGUCUUUGACUUUCAGAGUGACCGAACACCAGCAUAGUUCACCAGAGAAGAUCAGGAAUGCUGUCUCUUCUGAAAGGGUACCAAAAAGAGAGUAAACAGAUCAUUCUAUAUUGAUCAAGGAGUGGCAAACUGACAUCUGCAGAACAAAUCUGAUCCCCAGAUGAGCUCUAUUUGUUCAACAAAGAUGUUGUCGUUGUUACUUUUUUUAUUGAAUUUGAGUGCUUUGGCGCACCUAGUCUUUCUGCCACUGUAGGUCCCACGACUUUCUGUUGCCUUAUACUCAGCCCUUUAAUUAUUCAAGAUACCUGCAGAGCCCUAGAGGCCUUUGAGGUUAUCACUUCUACUGAAGGCCAGUGCCCAAGGUUGCUGCCCUGCUAUCUCUCCUCCUAAGUUUUCCUAAAUGUGUUCUAAUGGUCACUAUGCCUGCAGCCUGUCUUCUCUCCACUCCAUCUAGCAUAUGAUAAGAUAAGUCCUUAAGUCUAAACUUCUCAGCCCAAUAUAUGAUACCCUUUAAGAAAAGUUUUCAAACUUCCACUUUCAGUCUCAUCUCCUGACUUAUUUCCACACUUUUCUCCUUUAAGUCCUCCAAACUUUCCAUUUGCUAGAGACAUCAUCCUUAUUUCUACUCUCAGCCUUACAUUUGGUGUUUUCUAUGACUUGAAUGCUUUUUAUUAUUCAGAGCCAAGGUCAAAUCUCAUUCCUAUGAGGCCUUUCCUAAUUUUCUUUCACUACCCAAACACUCACUUUAGGAAGAAUUAGUUACUCUUUUUUCUGUGUUUCCACAUGAAUCUAUCCAAUUCAAGGACUUCUUUGCAUGUAAAUCUCUAUAUCCAUAUUUCCCUACCACACUGUAAAAUCUUCAAGGCCAAGGACUGCAUCAUAUUUAUUUUUGCAUCUAUCUCAGGUCCUAAUACAAUGGUUAUACUAUGAUUGUAACUGAGUAAGAGUUAUGGUGGAUACACAAUUUUCAGCAGAUGUCCACAAAGGUAGAUAAAUGAAGAAACAUAGGAAGAGUGCCUGUUAUUUUCUGUUUCUUUUAGGAUCAGUUAGUACUUUUAUAUAGGCCUUUGAUUGGGCAGUGAUAUUUUGUGGGGUACAUUGCCUACCACAGGAAUGGAG
rnacentral:lncRNA from 1 species